UGGUUCUGGCAUCGAUGAAGAACGCAGCGAAAUGCGAUAAGUAAUGUGAAUUGCAGAAUUCAGUGAAUCAUCGAAUCUUUGAACGCACAUUGCGCCCGCUGGUAUUCCAGCGGGCAUGCCUGUUCGAGCGUCAUUUCAACCCUCAAGCCCGGCUUGGUGUUGGGGCGCUGCCCGCUGUCUCUCUGCGGGCAGGCUCCGAAAUCUAGUGGCGAGCUCGCCAGGACUCCGAGCGUAGUAGUUUUACCACCUCGCUUUGGAUCGUACUGGCGCGGCCUUGCCGUAAAACCCCCUAUUAUUUCAGAAAGUUGACCUCGGAUCAGGUAGGAAUACCCGCUGA
rnacentral:misc_RNA from 1 species